CAAACCAGUUGUAACUGAUAAACUCAUGUCCUCAAAAGGUAGAGUAUCUUAUGUGAGGGUCUUGGUUGAAGUUGAUGCUGCCGAGGAAUUGGUGCGUAAGGUGGAAAUUAAGUUGCCAACGGGUAAGGUUAGAAACCAAGAGGUUUACUAUGAUCAUGAGCCAAAGUUUUGCUCUACUUGCAAAUGCUUCGGUCACAAAACGAUGGGGUGCAAUGUAUGUAUGCAGGUUGUGAUGGACAAUAAGAAUGAUCCAAAAGUAAGAAGCAAUCAGGUUGUGCAUGCAAAAUAGCCUGGAGCUGUAACAGACGGAAAUGGACAGAACACAUCUUGCACAAAUGGCCAGAGUGAACAUAAUUCCCAGCAUUUUACCCGGCGCAAGGACCAGAAUGCUACUGGCCAAAAUGGCCAAUCUGCUAUGGAAAGAAUGGCCAGCAAGCUACUGGGUGAAAUGACAAGAAUGCUACCGGCAAAAAUGGCCAGACUGCUGGCGAUAACUCUGUACAGGAAAGUAGGGAUGAGCUGGAUAAUUCCUUUGUUGAAGUGGCUAGCAAAAAGAAGGGAAUGAACAAGUCUAAUGGAAAUGAUCAGGAGGAACGGCAUAUGAAGGCAGCUUGCAAUGACAACUCAAAGGAAAGAUGGAUGAUCUACAAACUGUAGCAAUCAAAAAAGAUAAGAAGUCAAUAACCCCUCCCUUGAUAUCGAAAUGAAUUUGUAA
rnacentral:lncRNA from 1 species